AUGUGCGUGUGCGUGUGCGUGUGCACACAUGUACAUGCACUCUUGAUACCAUGGCGGCCACUAGAACGUAAGUGCCAGCUCAGCAUUGGGCAGGGUGAGGCACUUUCUUUCCAGGAGUUGCUGUAGCAUUUGGAGAAUUCAGUGUGUGAGCAAGAAUAUUCAUGCACUAGGUUAAUGCCUCUCUAAUAGGAGGGGACAGUGUUGUGGAAAGAAGAUUCUGUUCUUUAUAAUCUUGUAUUUUGCUCUUUGCACCAUCCACAGCAUUUUCAUAUUGUUAAAUAUGGGAGGUUCUCGAUAUAAAUGUUUAUAGUUUCCAUGAGAAGGAAAACCCAAAUGGACUUACUUGUAGGUCACAUCUUAAACAUUUUCUCCUAAUGGACCAGAAAUACACAUGUAAUUAAACUCUAAUUGGGAAAUUGUUCAUCUUGAACAAGUCUUAGAGUGGCAUUUUGAAUGUCAAUGCAGAGAUUAAGGACAGUUAGUGUCUGGUAUCCAUGUGCACAAUUGUGAAUGGCUGCAUUCCUUCCUGUCAGAGUCAUCUCUGCCCUGGAUCUCUGCAGGGAAGUUCAUGGGGUGGUUUUCUUUGUGUUGGGACCGUUUGUUUAAACUAUAUAUUUUGUGUGUGUAUCUUUGAUUUGGUUUAGCAUCAGUGUUGUGGUAGUGACCUCAUAUUCUUGACUGUUAAGGCAGUUACACAUUUCUUUGUCUAAAAUUGGGUACUAGUAACAAAAGACUUACUUUAAGACCCAGUUCUUUCUUCAUUGACAGAGUUCUUGAUGAUAUUUUCCCUUCUGGUCUGAGUGUAUGUUGGAGAUGAGAGGAGGGCCCCAAACUCCACAUCCUCCUAUAUAUUAAAAGGGUAAUAUGCAAAUAGACCAAACGGUGAAAUGACCAGUCGCUAUGACACACACUGACCACCAGGGGGCAGAUGCUCAACGCAGUAGCUGUCCCCUGGUAGUCAGUGCACUCCCACAGGAGGAACACCACUCAGCCAGAGCCGGGCUCAUGGCUGGUGAGCGCAGCAGCGGUGGUGGGAGCCUCUCCUGCCUCUGCGGCAAUGCUAAGGAUGUCCGACUACCAGCUUAGAUCUGCUCCCCAGGGCCUAAGCUGUCAGUCGGACAUCCUCCAGGGGCUCCCGGACUGCGAGAGGGUGCAGGCCAGGCUGAGGGACGCCCUCUCCCUCCCCGCCCCUGAGUGCAGGAAUUUCAUGCACCAGGCCUCUAGUGUUGAUAUAAAAAGUGACCCACAAACAAAACCAAUCGAUACCAUUGGGGAGGUUUGCCUUUCUCUCCUCCCUCUUUUAGUCCUUUUCAUCUGUGCCCUUUACCAAGUUACCAUGCACGUUAUCUUGUUCUACGUAUCUCAAUAGCCCUGGUUAGUGGCAGAGAAAGCGCGCUCUCAGGACCUCAUACCUGUGUCUCUACCUCCUCUGUCUCCCCAUGCACGUCCUCUGGCAUUUCUUAUUCUUCCAGCACAGUUGGAGCUGAGCGAAUCUGACUCCAGAUCCUCAACAGUUCCCUCUCAAUCUUCUUGGCCGUAAGGCAGAGGGACUGGGAUUUCAAAGCUCUGCUCCUCCACAUGUCAGCAGAGAGACCGUGGAGAAUGUAGGAGCUACAUUAAGCAAGAAAUGUUUUACUAUCAUGUACUUAAAUAGUAUAUCUAAUUUCAAUACUAAAGCAAAAUCAAAAGUUGAUAAAGAUUAGCCACAUUACAGAAUAAAACUUUAAAGUUUCUUUUAUUACUCUGAUAUCUGUAUUGUGUUAUCUUGAAAACAAAUUAUUAAUUUGGCUUUGCUUAAUGCAAAGACUUAGGUAAAGGACAAGCUUAAAUCUGCUGUCAGAGGUAAGCUGGAUGGUGAACUUCCCCCUUGGCUCCCUUCCACCGAGUUGAGGAUCGAGGCACAUUAUCCUUGGCAUUCACAGUGCACUUGUAGCAGUUGGCACUUGGGUUGACUUUUGUGGUUUCUCUUGACCUCGCUCAUUCUUUUUAAGAGACAACAUAACUUUACAGUGAAGAGUGCAGGCUCUGGGGUGAGAAGGCCUUAGGUUCAGACCCUGGCCCUCCCACCUAGUAGCUGUGUAAACUCUGCUAGGCCCUGGCAGUUGGGUGCCUCAGUUCCUCAUUCAGAGAAUAGAAAUGGUAACGCUAACUUUCUUAGAGUUAUGAAGAUUUACGUGCGUUAAUUUGUGCAAAGUGCUUAGAAUCAUGCCUGAGACCUUGGUACAUGUUCAACAAGGAUCAGCUGUUGGAUGUUUUUUGUGCAGGUUUUAGGUAAAGGCUCCUCUGAGUGCACUGAUUUUGGAACCAGGGGAAAGAAACAGUCUACACUUGGGCUGCAUCCAGAGCUCUGACCUUGUUAGCACCUGAGCUAAUGAAGCUAGCACGGGCACCUCGCUGUGGGGUAACUGGUGCUGAUGCAUUCAGUGUAGAUGAUCAUUUACAUAGAUCUUGCCUUGUUUUUAAUAAUAAAGUUUCAACUUUCUAAACUGUCCGUAUUAUAUGUCCUGAGGGUUAAAAUGUUAUUGUUUGCAACUUUACACAAAGAUAGAUCAAUAAAUGGAGGAACUAAUUUGUUUUCUUUAAGCAUUUCUAGUUAUUUUUAACUGUCGAUUUCCAAUGCUACCAAAAGGAAUUAGAUAAUCUUACAGAAUAGUUACAAAAAUAUGUAAGACUUAGACAGUCAUGUAUUUUACAGAGUGGUUGCCCUGAUAUAAGCUUGUCUAACCAUUAUGCUGUAUACCUGAAACUAAUACAGAAUAAUAUUGAUUGUAAACUGCAGUUGAAAAAUAAAAGAAAAUGCCAGGCUUGUGUUCUUAGCAUUUCACGGUACUCUCCAUGUGUUGCCAGAGGAAAUAGGAUUCUUCCACGGUAUCACAGGAAAUGCAUUUCAGGGAUACACACAUAGGAGGGUUUGAGGUAUAGUGGCAAGAUUUACUGGAGGGAAAAAGGAGGACUGCCCUCGGAUGCACCAUGCCCGAUGUCUCAGCCACAACCAGGUGGCUCAGCUCCAUCUCCUGUGGAAGAAGAGCAGCCUCUGGGACCGCAGGCCCACAUUGUCCCCACCAAGCCCAGGAGGUGGCCCAGACCGGAGCUGCCAUGCCAUUA